UACGUAGGGUGCAAGCGUUGUCCGGAAUUAUUGGGCGUAAAGAGCUCGUAGGCGGUCUGUCGCGUCUGCCGUGAAAGUCCGGGGCUCAACUCCGGAUCUGCGGUGGGUACGGGCAGACUAGAGUGAUGUAGGGGAGACUGGAAUUCCUGGUGUAGCGGUGAAAUGCGCAGAUAUCAGGAGGAAUACCAGCGGCGAAGGCGGCGCUCUGGGCCGGUACUGACGCUGAGGAGCGAAAGCGUGGGGAGCAAACAGG
rnacentral:rRNA from 1 species